rnacentral:RNase_P_RNA from 2 species
GAAGUAAACCGGAUGAUCGCCGUCCCGCGCCAGCGGGAGGGAGGAAAGUCCGGGCUCCACAGGGCAGGAUACUCCGUAACGCGGAGUGGGGGCGACCUUAAGGAAAGUGCCACAGAAAACAAACGGCCCACCCGCGGGGCGACCCGCGGCGGCAAAGGUGAAAAGGUGGGGUAAGAGCCCACCAGUGCCGCCGGUGACGGCGGCAGCUGGCAAACCCUAUCCGGAGCAAGAUCAAAUAGGAAAGCGCUUGAGGGCGGCCCGUCCGAUGCUUUCGGGUUGAUCGCUCGAGCCUGCCGGCAACGGCAGGCCUAGAUUGAUGAUCAUCGCUCCGUGCUCCGGCACGGAGAACAGAACCCGGCUUACAGGUUUACUUCUUGC